rnacentral:rRNA from 1 species
CCCCUUAUGACCUGGGCUACACACGUGCUACAAUGGAUAGUACAAAGGGUCGCGAAGCCGCGAGGUGGAGCUAAUCCCAUAAAACUAUUCUCAGUUCGGAUUGUAGGCUGCAACUCGCCUACAUGAAGCCGGAAUCGCUAGUAAUCGUGGAUCAGCAUGCCACGGUGAAUACGUUCCCGGGCCUUGUACACACCGCCCGUCACACCACGAGAGUUUGUAACACCCGAAGUCGGUAGGGUAACCUUUAUGGAGCCAGCCGCCGAAGGUGGGACAGAUAAUUGGGGUGAAGUCGUAACAAGGUAGCCGUAUCGGAAGGUGCGGCUGGAUCACCUCCUUUCUAAGGAA